UACGGAGGGUGCAAGCGUUGUCCGGAAUCACGUGGGCGUAAAGGGCGCGUAGGCGGCUCGGUAAGUAGGGGUGAAAUCCUGCGGCUUAACCGCAGGCUGCCUUCUAAACUGUCGAGCUUGAGCAGCGGUAGAGGCAGAUGGAAUUCCCGGUGUAGCGGAUGGAAUGCGUAGAGGAUCGGGAAGAACAUCAGUGGCGAAGGCGGUCUGCUGGGCCGUUGCUGACGCUGAGGCGCGACAGCGUGGGGAGCAAACAAGG
rnacentral:rRNA from 1 species